rnacentral:rRNA from 1 species
UACGUAGGGGGCUAGCGUUGCUCGGAAUCACUGGGCGUAAAGGGUGCGUAGGCGGGUUUUUAAGUCGGGGGUGAAAUCCUGGAGCUCAACUCCAGAACUGCCUUUGAUACUGAGGAUCUUGAGUUCGGGAGAGGUGAGUGGAACUGCGAGUGUAGAGGUGAAAUUCGUAGAUAUUCGCAAGAACACCAGUGGCGAAGGCGGCUCACUGGCCCGAUACUGACGCUGAGGCACGAAAGCGUGGGGAGCAAACAGG